CCUCUCCUGAAGUCUCAAGGACCUGAAUCUUUCCUGUAAUCUGAGGAACCUGAGGUUUGCCACAGGACAGGGCUACUUUUGGAGCUAGGUUAAUCACUUGCAGUUUAACAGGAACUCAGCUACAAAAGAGCUGGAACACCAAGCACUUGCUUGGCUGGAAACAAAGUCACGCUGUCAGCCAGCAAUCAGGAAAUUAAAACGAUGGCACUAUUUUUGGCAUCGUUAAGAAAAAAUGGCAAUUACAUUGCUAAAAUUCUAUUGUUGUUUUAAUAAGGUGUUACUAAGAGGGUGUUUACACAUCAGGACUCUUGAAGAUAUUUGCAUCUUGACCACGCUCCUGUAAUUACCUAGCUGCGCUGGCCCACGUGCGUGAAGAGGAAUCCUGUCCCUGUAUCCGCUCCUGCAUUCCCGGUUGUGUGGUGUUACAUCAAAGCACAGCCAACAGGUCCACACAAAGAGGACAGGAAUGGCCCAGCCGCAGGGGCAAGGUAAGUCCUGCUGGGCUCAUCAAUGCUGAGGAAGGGCAGUCAGGUUGUAAUCAGCAUAAUUAACACCGCCGUACCCUGAAUCCUCUUUACAUCCAAGUCACACGACAACCUCAAGGAAAUGGAUUUCUUUUUCCUGCUAUGGAAAUAGGCAAAACAUCUCCAGCUGAUCUCCAUAAUGAGAAAGAAAGGUCUCCUCUGCAGGUAAGGUUUCUGAAAGCAGGAUUUCACCUAUGUGCAGGGAAAGCUCAGAGGUUGGCUCAAGGCAUCUGCCAGCCCUCAGCACUUUUUAAAGGUCAUGUUUCAGGCUCAAGGGCUUUGUCGAUGCCCUUGAUGAGACGAUUCAAUGACGGGAGGUGCGUUGGAGAGCUGCUGCUGAGCUCAGAACUCAGCUGUGACACGGUGGCUGGCCUUUGGUCGGAAGGGGUGUGUAGGGAACAUCCCUGUUUCACAAGGCAGCGAUGCCUUGUUAGUACUGGCAACAGAGGCCAAUUACCUAAUAGGCCAAGAGUUCCCAUGUUUCUCCUCCCCUUCUGUGUAAACAUUUAAAAUAAAAGGAUUUUUUACUUAUUACAUAACAUCCUUUUGAUUUAAGAAAAAAAAAAAAGCAGUAACUUUACCUAGAAAAGUAAUAGCAGGAAGACGUUCAGCCUUAUGCACUCAGGAUUUGCAGCCAGCACUAUGGGAGUUCAGCCCUAUGGGAAAGGCAGUAUCUCUUCCACCUGUCCUUGUCCUCUACCUGCAGCCAGGGAGCCCCUGAAUCGCCUGCACCAGGAGCACCAAGGCUGGUGAUGCUUCUCCAGAGGCAAACAGCACACAGCAGAACACUCCUAGUCCCAUUCCCUCCCUCAUCACUCCUUUACUAUGUGCUCUGGGAUGCAGUACUGACAGGAAAUCUACUGGGCAAGAGUGAUUUCAAUGAGUUUUGUUCUGUUGAUCUCUUUAGGUAACAAAUACUGGUAGCCCUGCGUGGCUAUCAUUCACUGGUGAACAGAAAUCAUCGCCAUGCAAGCAAAGCUGAGUUCUUCUGGGCUACCCAGCUGUAUCCGUUACCCUUGUCUGAACAAGCAGCUCCAGGGCAAUGUCCCAUCCGUGCUCUGAAAGUACCAGAAAGGCAGUGGCACUGAACCGAUCUGAGCAGCAGCGGCAUUUGGCAUUCUCCCCAGAGCUGUCUGAGCAAACAAGGCAAAGGGAAAAGCGCCUGUCCCUCCCUCUCUCCACCUGCCCAGUGACUCAGAACAACUAGAAAUGGCAGCUUUGCUCUUGCUGCUGCCAAAUGCAGACCGAUACACCCGAUACACCCGGCAGAGCGAAGGCAGCAGGAGUGCCAAGGAAUCUUCCUCUGAAGAUGAAGGAAGAUAAGUGCUGUGACUGAAGCCUUAGGGUGGUAGAGCUUCAGAUGCAGAGCUACGUCGGCCUGCUUCUCCUAUUCUAUUCAGGCUGAUCGCUCUGCAUUCUGGAUUACGAGAAAUCCAUCAAUCAAGCACUCACUGUAUCCACAGCCACUGAAACUGCUGCAGCAUAAAGAGAAAUCAAGCUGCAGGCUUUUACCACAAUGCUGGGCUCUCAAACAACGGAAGAUA